ensembl:ncRNA F40E10.11 ncRNA
UCCGGUCAAAGAAACCAGCUUGCCCACUCUGUCUGACCGCUUGCCAAGCCAAGCGCGCCCUUUGCACACUGUCGUCCGCAAUCUUUUGCCUGUGGGUCGUGACCGGCUCGUCUGCUCCAAAUG